rnacentral:rRNA from 1 species
CGUACCUUUUGUAUAAUGGGUCAGCGACUUAUAUUCUGUAGCAAGGUUAACCGAAUAGGGGAGCCGGAGGGAAACCGAGUCUUAAUUGGGCGUUAAGUUGCAGGGUAUAGACCCGAAACCCGGUGAUCUAGCCAUGGGCAGGUUGAAGGUUGGGUAACACUAACUGGAGGACCGAACCGACUAAUGUUGAAAAAUUAGCGGAUGACCUGUGGCUGGGGGUGAAAGGCCAAUCAAACCGGGAGAUAGCUGGUUCUCCCCGAAAGCUAUUUAGGUAGCGCCUCGUGAAUUCAUCUCCGGGGGUAGAGCACUGUUUCGGCUAGGGGGCCAUCCCGGCUUACCAACCCGAUGCAAACUGCGAAUACCGGAGAAUGUUAUCACGGGAGACACACGGCGGGUGCUAACGUCCGUCGUGAAGAGGGAAACAACCCAGACCGCCAGCUAAGGUCCCAAAGUCAUGGUUAAGUGGGAAACGAUGUGGGAAGGCCCAGACAGCCAGGAUGUUGGCUUAGAAGCAGCCAUCAUUUAAAGAAAGCGUAAUAGCUCACUGGUCGAGUCGGCCUGCGCGGAAGAUGUAACGGGGCUAAACCAUGCACCGAAGCUGCGGCAGCGANNGUUGGGUAGGGGAGCGUUCUGUAAGCCUGUGAAGGUGGCCUGUGAGGGUUGCUGGAGGUAUCAGAAGUGCGAAUGCUGACAUAAGUAACGAUAAAGCGGGUGAAAAGCCCGCUCGCCGGAAGACCAAGGGUUCCUGUCCAACGUUAAUCGGGGCAGGGUGAGUCGACCCCUAAGGCGAGGCCGAAAGGCGUAGUCGAUGGGAAACGGGUUAAUAUUCCCGUACUUGGUGUUACUGCGAAGGGGGGACGGAGAAGGCUAUGUUGGCCGGGCGACGGUUGUCCCGGUUUAAGCGUGUAGGUGUGUGUUCCAGGUAAAUCCGGUUCACUUUAACACUGAGGCGUGAUGACGAGGCACUACGGUGCUGAAGUAACAAAUGCCCUGCUUCCAGGAAAAGCCUCUAAGCAUCAGGUAACAUCAAAUCGUACCCCAAACCGACACAGGUGGUCAGGUAGAGAAUACCAAGGCGCUUGAGAGAACUCGGGUGAAGGAACUAGGCAAAAUGGUGCCGUAACUUCGGGAGAAGGCACGCUGACACGUAGGUGAAGUGAUUUACUCACGGAGCUGAAGUCAGUCGAAGAUACCAGCUGGCUGCAACUGUUUAUUAAAAACACAGCACUGUGCAAACACGAAAGUGGACGUAUACGGUGUGACGCCUGCCCGGUGCCGGAAGGUUAAUUGAUGGGGUCAGCGCAAGCGAAGCUCCUGAUCGAAGCCCCGGUAAACGGCGGCCGUAACUAUAACGGUCCUAAGGUAGCGAAAUUCCUUGUCGGGUAAGUUCCGACCUGCACGAAUGGCGUAAUGAUGGCCAGGCUGUCUCCACCCGAGACUCAGUGAAAUUGAACUCGCUGUGAAGAUGCAGUGUACCCGCGGCAAGACGGAAAGACCCCGUGAACCUUUACUAUAGCUUGACACUGAACAUUGAGCCUUGAUGUGUAGGAUAGGUGGGAGGCUUUGANNNNNNNNNNNNNNNNCGGGUUGCGGACAGUGUCUGGUGGGUAGUUUGACUGGGGCGGUCUCCUCCUAAAGAGUAACGGAGGAGCACGAAGGUUGGCUAAUCCUGGUCGGACAUCAGGAGGUUAGUGCAAUGGCAUAAGCCAGCUUGACUGCGAGCGUGACGGCGCGAGCAGGUGCGAAAGCAGGUCAUAGUGAUCCGGUGGUUCUGAAUGGAAGGGCCAUCGCUCAACGGAUAAAAGGUACUCCGGGGAUAACAGGCUGAUACCGCCCAAGAGUUCAUAUCGACGGCGGUGUUUGGCACCUCGAUGUCGGCUCAUCACAUCCUGGGGCUGAAGUAGGUCCCAAGGGUAUGGCUGUUCGCCAUUUAAAGUGGUACGCGAGCUGGGUUUAGAACGUCGUGAGACAGUUCGGUCCCUAUCUGCCGUGGGCGCUGGAGAACUGAGGGGGGCUGCUCCUAGUACGAGAGGACCGGAGUGGACGCAUCACUGGUGUUCGGGUUGUCAUGCCAAUGGCACUGCCCGGUAGCUAAAUGCGGAAGAGAUAAGUGCUGAAAGCAUCUAAGCACGAAACUUGCCCCGAGAUGAGUUCUCCCUGAGACUUUAGGUCUCCUGAAGGAACGUUGAAGACGACGACGUUGAUAGGCCGGGUGUGUAAGCGCAGCGAUGCGUUGAGCUAACCGGUACUAAUGAACCGUG